rnacentral:rRNA from 1 species
CAGCAGCCGCGGUAAUACGUAGGUCCCGAGCGUUGUCCGGAUUUAUUGGGCGUAAAGCGAGCGCAGGUGGUUUAUUAAGUCUGGUGUAAAAGGCAGUGGCUCAACCAUUGUAUGCAUUGGAAACUGGUAGACUUGAGUGCAGGAGAGGAGAGUGGAAUUCCAUGUGUAGCGGUGAAAUGCGUAGAUAUAUGGAGGAACACCGGUGGCGAAAGCGGCUCUCUGGCCUGUAACUGACACUGAGGCUCGAAAGCGUGGGGAGCAAACAGGAUUAGAUACCCUGGUAGUCCCACGCCGUAAACGAUGAGUGCUAGAUGUAGGGAGCUAUAAGUUCUCUGUAUCGCAGCUAACGCAAUAAGCA